AACAGCGCGAACAUACUUUCAAUGGGCGUUUUGUGAUCAUCUCCGUGUAUAUUUAUGUGCUGCCUGAGUCUUUUUCUCAUCCACCUGCACGUAAUCCACCCUGUGCUCGUCAGAGAGGAGAGGCUUCUGCAAGACAAACACAGUCAUGAGGAGACGAUAGCAAACUGAGGAGAAGGAGAUGCCGAGUUAAAAUCCAAUGACAAGUAGUCAAUGUUUGAUCUUCUUGGCCAAGGUUGAACAGCUGCAUCAAAGGUGAGAGAGCCGUGCUGCCUCGACUCCUGCAGACAAAGAAGUAGUUGAAGUGUCAUGAGUGUUCCAGACACUUGUAUCUCGGUAAGUGCUACUUUCACAUGUUACAUUGAAGCAGUGUGAAAAUUAUAUUUUACCUGCUUCCUCUUGGUUGCCAAACUGGCAAAUGUGACUGAUACUGCUGAUCCAGCUGUUCAUCUCCUCUUCAGUUUUGGCCACCAAGUAGAAAAUGCGAGCAGAGGUCUUCACCACAAAGAGAUGCUUCUCUCCGAAGUCUCGCUUGAUCCCUAGCUGACCGUUGAGCAUUUCCACCUCGCACUCUUUCAGAUCAAUGGUGCGGAUUGGCUUUUUGGAACUCUUACUCUGGUAGUAUUCCAGCACAUCGGGGUUCCCACUCAUGCGGCCUCUUCGCAGGACAAACCAACGCUUUCUCCAUGCCUGAAGGAGAGAACAAGAAUUGCAAAUAAAAUUUUAGGUACGGAUAUUGACGUUACACCAACUCCCUUCUCCCCAUCAUUACUAUUUUCAUCAUGACCGGUCAUGAGAACUGGAUCGCAGCUUACUUGGCAACUUUAAAUUCAAUUGUUUGCCUGUGAUAUGCUCACUAAGCGGAACCUUUGCUCAAAUUCCCCGCAAAGAAGAGGAAGUUGACUGUAUUCAGCAGAAAAUGUAUAACACCAAGCAAUACCGAAGCACUUACACAGAAUUGAUGACAGCUGUCUAAUCAGGACACCCUAAAAACGUAAUAUUACAACAGACCAUUUACAUGAGAUCUACUGUACAUGUUAUCUAGGACUCCUGAGACCUCAGUGCAUUUGGGAUGCACUUCAGUCAUUUAGAAAAAUUUAUUAGAACAUUAAUGCUGCAUGAAAGCAAGGAUGUUUUUUCACACUUGGUUUUGUGGUUUCAUUCUCAUCAAGCUUUUUCUUUGUGUGUGGGUAAUCUGCAUCUGCACAUGUCGGUUAGUACCAGGAAAUGGUAAGACACACCGCAAUUACUGCAAACAUUUAUGGGGAAAUAAUAACUAUACUGAUCAUCUGACCUUUUCAAAGUUUUAAAUACAGAUUUGUGUGUGUUUUUUUUAUAUUAAAGGUGGCUUGGUGGUUUGUUUUUGCUUGCAGUUGCUCUCAUAGUGCGUAGGGUUGUGUCCUCUAAAGAGUGUAACGUAACACUAUUAUCUCUAUCGAAAGUGGCACCCUAAGCACACCCCUCCAUCUGCAAUUUACAUACGCUUACAAAAGAAAUUGAAUGGCAUUGUUUUUACUGUUGUCAAAUAAAAAAUUAAUAACUCUGAAAUGCAAUAUACAGUAGAUACCCUUACCACAAAAUAAAAAUCCUGCACAUAAGUCAAUAAAUAAUAAUAGUAAUAAAUUUAAAAAUACAACAACCAGCAUCAAACAAUUUAAAUAACUACACAGUUUGCGCACAAUAUAUAAUCUACAUUUACACUAUGCAAUACCUACAGUAACUACUGUAUAUAAAAAAGUAAAUAAAGUAGCUAUAAACAAAAGUACAUUAAGUACAUAUUUAACUCAAGGAUUGAUAUUUUCUGUAUUUUAUUGCCUCAUUGUAUAUUUUAAUUAAUGAAUUUGCUGUAUUGUAAAGCGCCUUUGUGUUUUAGAAAAGCGCUUAUAACAAAUUGUAUACCCCCGCGACCCUAAUGAGGAGAAGCGGCAUAGAAAAUGGAUGGAUGGAUGGAUGGAUGGAUGGAUGGAUGGAUGGAUGUAUUAUUAUUAUUAUUUAUUAUAUAUUUUGAAUAUAUAAAUAUGAGGGCUGUCAAAAAUAGCGCAUUAGCGGCAGUAGCUAAUUUAUUUAAUUAAGUUAAAAUGUUUUGCAUAAUUAAUUCAUGCACGUCAUGCCAAGCCACACCUCUCUUUUAUGACGGCAGACGGAGCACAAUAGCCUCCCCACACCGAGGCUGGCACUUUUUCCUAACUUUAUUUUGACCUGAACACAUCAACAGCAGUUUAAUGCCAACACCAUACACUGUAUAUGCAUCUUCAACUCACAAACAUGGCUCUUGUCCGCUUGUCAUCGGAAUGACACGUCCUCAUUGUAACUAGAUGACUGCGAGGUGCAUUCACGGAGACUCCGAAUAUCACAACAACAUCUUAUUAUGUGGGGUCUAUAUAAACAGAAAGACCAAGUCAAGCAGUAAGUGGAUAUUCUUAUCAUUCACUAGCAUAACUCUUUCUGCGAAAGUACAAUUUGCUGCGUUUCAAGUAUGCUUGGAAAGCCCAGAAAAUCUACACUCGAAACAUGAAUUCAGCUGAAAUCACACUGUGUCUUUGAAAUGUUCUGCUCCUAAGAGACUAGUGUUAGGCAAAUACAUUUUCAGACAUGUGCGGUACCUUUUAGCUUGAGGUACAUUUUCAGUUCCUUUGGAGCAGUUACAUACAUUAAAAAAUAUAUGUAUAUACAGUGGUGUGAAAAAGUGUUUGCCCCCUUCCUGAUUUCUUAUUUGUAACACAACUGAAAAAAAUGCAGUUUUUAAAUGAAACUUUUUAUUAUUCAGGGCCACCCUUAGCAGCAGCAACUGCAAACAAGCGUUUGCGAUAACUUGCAAUGACUCUUCUUGUAGCGCUGUGGAGAAAUUUUGCCCCACUUAUCUUUGCAGAAUUGUUGUAAUUCAACCACAUUGAGGGUUUUCCAGAAUGAGCCGUCUUUUUGAGGUCAUGCCACAGCAUCUCAAUAGGAUUCAGGUCAGGACUUUGACGAGGCCACCCCAAAGUCUUCAUUUUGUUUUUCUUCAGCCAUUCAGAGGUGGACUUGCUGGUGUGUUUUGGAUCAUUGUCCUGCUGCAGAACCCAAGUUGGUUUCAGCUUGAGGUCACAAACAGAUGGCCGAACACUCUCCUACAGGAUUUUUUGGUAGACAGCAGAAUUUAUGGUUCCAAUUAUCACAGCAAAUCUACCAGGUCCUGAAGCAGCAAAACAGCCCCAGAUCAUCAUAUGACCACCACCAUAUUUUACUGUUGGUAUGAUGUUCUUUUUCUGAAAUGCGGCGUUACUUUUGCCUCUUGUAAUUGGACACCACCUUCC